rnacentral:sRNA from 1 species
AAGCUGCUGCCGAAGAUGGCGGAGGUGCAGGUCCUGGUGCUUGAUGGUCGAGGCCAUCUCCUGGGCCGCCUGGCGGCCAUCGUGGCUAAACAGGUACUGCUGGGCCGGAAGGUGGUGGUCGUACGCUGCGAAGGCAUCAACAUUUCUGGCAAUUUCUACAGAAACAAGUGUAAGUUAAGACCUGGGAGGAGACCUGGAGAGGGUCUCCCUGUGGGGUGUUGAGGCUCUGAAAGCAAUUGCAGCCGUGUUGGGAGAGGCUACUUGGGGUUUCUGAGAAGGCCCUUGGAAGUGGGGUUUUGGGGAUGCUGGUAGACUGGGCAGGCCUCACACUCUCUCCUCUCCCUAGUGAAGUACCUGGCUUUCCUCCGCAAGCGGAUGAACACCAACCCUUCCCGAGGCCCCUACCACUUCCGGGCCCCCAGCCGCAUCUUCUGGCGGACCGUGCGAGGUAUGCUGCCCCACAAGACCAAGCGAGGCCAGGCCGCUCUGGACCGUCUCAAGGUGUUUGACGGCAUCCCACCGCCCUAUGACAAGAAAAAGCGGAUGGUGGUUCCUGCUGCCCUCAAGGUUGUGCGUCUGAAGCCUACAAGAAAGUUUGCCUAUCUGGGGCGCCUGGCUCAUGAGGUUGGCUGGAAGUACCAGGCAGUGACAGCCACCCUGGAGGAGAAGAGGAAAGAGAAAGCCAAGAUCCACUACCGGAAGAAGAAACAGCUCAUGAGGCUACGGAAACAGGCCGAGAAGAACGUGGAGAAGAAAAUUGACAAAUAUACAGAGGUCCUCAAGACCCACGGACUCCUGGUCUGAGCCCAAUAAAGACUGUUAAUUCCUCAUGCGUGGCCUGCCCUUCCUC